AUACGUAGGGGGCGAGCGUUAUCCGGAUUUAUUGGGCGUAAAGCGUGUGUAGGCGGUUUAUUAAGUCUAAGAUGAAAGCCCGAGGCUCAACCUCGGUUUGUUUUAGGUACUGGUAGACUAGAGUGUGGUAGAGGCAAAUGGAAUUCCUAGUGUAGCGGUGAAAUGCGUAGAUAUUAGGAGGAACAUCAGUGGCGAAGGCGAUUUGCUGGGCCAUUACUGACGCUGAGACACGAAAGCGUGGGGAGCAAAUAGGAUUAGAUACCCUAGUAGUCCACGCUGUAAACGAUGAGCACUAAGUGUCGGGCAACCGGUGCUGAAGUUAACACAUUAAGUGCUCCGCCUGAGUAGUACGGUCGCAAGACUGA
rnacentral:rRNA from 1 species